GCAGAACGCGAAGAACCUUACCAGGCCUUGACAUGCAGAGAACUUUCCAGAGAUGGAUUGGUGCCUUCGGGAACUCUGACACAGGUGCUGCAUGGCUGUCGUCAGCUCGUGUCGUGAGAUGUUGGGUUAAGUCCCGUAACGAGCGCAACCCUGUCCUUAGUUACCAGCACGUUAUGGUGGGCACUCUAAGGAGACUGCCGGUGACAAACCGGAGGAAGGUGGGGAGUGACGUCAAGUCAUCAUGGCCCUUACGGCCUGGGCUACACACGUGCUACAAUGGUCGGUACAGAGGGUUGCCAAGCCGCGAGGUGGAGCUAAUCUCACAAAACCGAUCGUAGUCCGGAUCGCAGUCUGCAACUCGACUGCGUGAAGUCGGAAUCGCUAGUAAUCGCGAAUCAGAAUGUCGCGGUGAAUACGUU
rnacentral:rRNA from 1 species